UGAAUACGAGACGCUAAGGCGUUGAAGUAGUGUAUGUCAUACUUCCAAGAAAAGCUUGCACUGUCAUAGAUAAAAAACGCCUGUACCAUAACCGACACAGGUGGGUAGGUAGAGUAUACUAAGGGGCGCGAGAUAACUCUCUCUAAGGAACUCGGCAAAAUAACUCCGUAACUUCGGGAGAAGGAGUGCCUUAUUUAUAAGGCUGCAACAACAAGAUCCAAGCAACUGUUUAUCAAAAACACAGGUCUCCGCUAAGUCGUAAGACGAUGUAUGGGGGCUGACGCCUGCCCAGUGCCAGAAGGUUAAAGAAGUUGGUUAGCAAUAGCGAAGCUGAUAACUGAAGCCCUGGUGAACGGCGGCCGUAACAAUAACGGUCCUAAGGUAGCGAAAUUCCUUGUCGGGUAAGUUCCGACCCGCACGAAAGGCGUAAUGAUUUGGAUACUGUCUCGGAGAGGGGCUCGGUGAAAUAGACUUGUCUGUGAAGAUGCGGACUACCUGCACCAGGACAGAAAGACCCUAUGAAGCUUUACUGUAACUUGAAAUUGAAAUUGGACUUUAUUCGCGCAGUAUAGGUGGGAGGCGUUGAUUGUAAUCUUGCGGGAUUAUUGGAGCCAUCAGUGAGAUACCACCCUUGUAAUGUUAGAUUUCUAACUUUGAAUCAUUAUCUGGUCAAAGAACAGUUUCAGGCGGGCAGUUUGACUGGGGCGGUCGCCUCCUAAACGGUAACGGAGGCGUACAAAGGUUUCCUCUGAACGGUUAGAAAUCGUAUCUAGAGUGUAAAGGCAUAAGGAAGCUUGACUGUGAGACCUACAAGUCGAGCAGGGACGAAAGUCGGUCUUAGUGAUCUGACGGUACUGAGUGGAAAGGCCGUCACUCAACGGAUAAAAGUUACUCUAGGAUAACAGGCUGAUCUCCCCCAAGAGUUCACAUCGACGGGGAGGUUUGGCACCUUGAUGUCGGCUCAUCGCAUCCUGGGGCGGUAGUACGUCCCAAGGGUUGGGCUGUUCGCCCAUGAAAGCGGUACGCGAGCUGGGUUCAGAACGUCGUGAGACAGUUCGGUCCAUAUCCGGUGUAGGCGUUAGAAUAUUGAGAGGAGCCUUCUUUAGUACGAGAGGACCGAGAAGGACAUACCCCUGGUGUACCAGUUAUCGUGCCAACGGUAAACGCUGGGUAGCUAUGUAUGGAGUGGAUAACCGCUGAAAGCAUCUAAGUGGGAAGCCCACCUCAAGAUAAG
rnacentral:rRNA from 1 species